UUCUCAGAAGGAGCAGGUUUAGCGGAUGGGAAUGGCAUUUCCGGGAAUGCAGUCAAGGGUGAAGGAGCGAAAAAAGCUAACUCGAAUGAAGAAUCUUUCUGAGGAGUGACCCCAAGUAGAAGUUAGAGAAGGAAUUGAUCCUUUCCUGAAGGAUAUAGGACUUAGGACACAAACUAAAUGAUCGAACUGAUGAAUCUCAGUCUAGGUGGAGUGUACCAGCACAUAGGUAGUCUAAGUUCCUAAAAAAAGGAGUCUCUGACUUUCACUUAGCUAUUCUCUGAGUUUGCUUUCCAGUCUAUCUUCAAAAGUAGAGAAGGUUUAGUGGUCAGUAAUAAACUCCUCAAUCAACAUGAAUGAGACUUUUCAUGGAAGUCUUAGUUGGACUCUACACCUUACUUUCCUUACGUCGAUCUCGAUGAUAACAAGGCCUUUCUUCCUCAUG
rnacentral:lncRNA from 1 species